AGUCGAGCGACGGACGAGAAGCUUGCUUCUCUGAUGUUAGCGGCGGACGGGUGAGUAACACGUGGAUAACCUACCUAUAAGACUGGGAUAACUUCGGGAAACCGGAGCUAAUACCGGAUAAUAUUUUGAACCGCAUGGUUCAAAAGUGAAAGACGGUCUUGCUGUCACUUAUAGAUGGAUCCGCGCUGCAUUAGCUAGUUGGUAAGGUAACGGCUUACCAAGGCAACGAUGCAUAGCCGACCUGAGAGGGUGAUCGGCCACACUGGAACUGAGACACGGUCCAGACUCCUACGGGAGGCAGCAGUAGGGAAUCUUCCGCAAUGGGCGAAAGCCUGACGGAGCAACGCCGCGUGAGUGAUGAAGGUCUUCGGAUCGUAAAACUCUGUUAUUAGGGAAGAACAUAUGUGUAAGUAACUGUGCACAUCUUGACGGUACCUAAUCAGAAAGCCACGGCUAACUACGUGCCAGCAGCCGCGGUAAUACGUAGGUGGCAAGCGUUAUCCGGAAUUAUUGGGCGUAAAGCGCGCGUAGGCGGUUUUUUAAGUCUGAUGUGAAAGCCCACGGCUCAACCGUGGAGGGUCAUUGGAAACUGGAAAACUUGAGUGCAGAAGAGGAAAGUGGAAUUCCAUGUGUAGCGGUGAAAUGCGCAGAGAUAUGGAGGAACACCAGUGGCGAAGGCGACUUUCUGGUCUGUAACUGACGCUGAUGUGCGAAAGCGUGGGGAUCAAACAGGAUUAGAUACCCUGGUAGUCCACGCCGUAAACGAUGAGUGCUAAGUGUUAG
rnacentral:rRNA from 1 species